AGAACGAACGCUGGCGGCAGGCUUAACACAUGCAAGUCGAACGCGUGUAGCAAUACACGAGUGGCGCACGGGUGAGUAACGCGUGGAUAUCUGCCUUUUGGUUCGGAAUAACCCCGGGAAACUGGGGCUAAUACCGGAUGGUUCCUACGGGAUAAAGAUUUAUCGCCAAAAGAUGAGUCCGCGUACGAUUAGCUAGUUGGUGAGGUAAUGGCUCACCAAGGCGACGAUCGUUAGCUGGUCUGAGAGGACGAUCAGCCACACUGGGACUGAGACACGGCCCAGACUCCUACGGGAGGCAGCAGUGGGGAAUAUUGGACAAUGGGGGCAACCCUGAUCCAGCCAUGCCGCGUGAGUGAUGAAGGCCUUCGGGUUGUAAAGCUCGUUUUGGCGGGGACGAUGAUGACGGUACCCGCAGAAUAAGCCCGGCUAACUUCGUGCCAGCAGCCGC
rnacentral:rRNA from 1 species